UUAAUUUUCUUCCCCUAUAACUGUGGCUACAGAUUUGGAAAAAAAAAAAAAAAAAAAAGCAUAUAUGUAAUCCUUCACAAGGAAAACUGUAUUUCAGGCAAUGGAGAGUUUUUUCUUUUAAACUUACUGUCUAUAUGUAUGAAGAACUUCAUUGGAGUGGAUACAAAGAAAUGUGGAAGAGUCUCUGCCACCAAGGGGUUUAUAAACAGGAAUAUUUCACUGCUGCUUUUCUCAUUCAUAGUAUUUUACAGGGAUCAAGCUCCUAUUUUUUUUCCCUAUCUGUUGCUUUGCUGGCACACACUGAAUUUUCACAAUAAGUGAGAAGACUGAAGCAUGAAGUUACAUGCUGCAAAGUGGCAGUGAGAAGAGCCAUGUGUCAUAUUGUGUAUCUUGAUCACAUUAUUUCUAAAGUAAAAACAUUCAGUUGAUUCAAGGAGCUAUUCUGGCAGGGGUGGCACUGAGCAAGUAUGGUCCAUAGUCUGCCUGAUAAACACAAAAUUAUUGUGUCAGAUCUUCAUCAAGAUUUCUUCCACAUACAUAUAAAAAAGUAAUUUUAAACACUGCUUUCAUCACAGUCAAAGUCACAGGAGAAGAUGGUUCCCCUGACUCCUUUUAGAACUUGGAUGUAGACUGAAAUGCCUAAAAUAGAUCAUAUAUUGUGAUCCAAGGUUAGCUGAAUGCAAAAGAUCAGCAUUUUGCUGCUUUCUUUUCCUUGUGAAAUUCCCUGCACCAGAGCAAGAUAUUGCAGAAAGAACUUAUGAUAUUUGAAGGAUACCUUUCUGAAAUGUAUGAUGCCCCUGAAAAUAUGCUACUACUGCAUUUUGGAGGUAAUAGUAAAAGUAAUAGUGUUUAGCAUCAACAAGAAGACAUUCUAUCUAAAAGAUAACAGUGCAUCACACCACAGAAAGGGCUUUAGCAUUUUCUGAAUACUGAUAGCCAUAUAUCUGGACCCAUAGUUUUCCUGGUAUCUAAAGACAUGCACCUUUGAAAUAAAGAUAAAAUUUCUAGGAUGAUAGACAUUAUAGACCCUAAUGGCUGAUCAUAACUACAAAAUAUGCCUGCAUCCCAAAAUCACGGAACUCCAUAUGUUACCAGAAAAUCCUUAGCUUCUCCAAACUUCAAGAAAUAUAUUAAGACAACUAUUUAAAAUACUAAAUAUCUUCAGGCUGAGAUCUUCAAAGUUCAAGAAUCUGUUAGAUUUUUCAUGCUUAGCAGUUAACACCUACCACUGCAACCAAACACAGGAACACUUCACUGGAAACUGAAUGGAGAUGAAAAUAUAAAGUGGAAUGAGAGCUGGAUUUAAAGCUCAUGUAUAAUCAAGCUGAGGAAGCUGUAUACUGAUUUUGACUUUGGUGGUCACCUAUGGGACUGUCCAUCCUAGAGUCUGCAUGCAUAAAGAAAAGUGUUUGAA